UACGUAGGGGGCAAGCGUUGUCCGGAAUCAUUGGGCGUAAAGAGCGUGUAGGCGGUCCGGUCAGUCGGUUGUGAAAGUCAAAGGGCUCAACCCUUGAAUGCCGGCCGAUACUGCCGGGCUAGAGUCCGGAAGAGGUGAGUGGAAUUCCUGGUGUAGCGGUGAAAUGCGCAGAUAUCAGGAGGAACACCGAUGGCGAAGGCAGCUCACUGGGACGGUACUGACGCUGAGACGCGAAAGCGUGGGGAGCAAACAGG
rnacentral:rRNA from 1 species